AAACGUAGGACGCGAGCGUUAUCCGGAUUUACUGGGCGUAAAGCGCGGGCAGGCGGUGGUCCAAGUCGGACGUGAAAGCUCCCGGCUCAACUGGGAGAGGUCGUUCGAAACUGGGCCGCUAGAGGGCAGUAGAGGGGCGUGGAAUUCCGGGUGGAGUGGUGAAAUGCGUAGAGAUCCGGAGGAACACCAGAGGCGAAGGCGGCGCCCUGGGCUGCACCUGACGCUGAGCCGCGAAAGCUAGGGGAGCGAACGGGAUUAGAAACCCCGGUAGUCCUAGCCGUAAACGAUGUCCACUAGAUGUCUGGGCGGAGCGCCUGGGCGUCGCAGCUAACGCGUUAAGUGGACCGCCUGGGGAGUACGGCCGCAAGGCUAAA
rnacentral:rRNA from 1 species